rnacentral:piRNA from 1 species
UCCAUUAGCCACACUGAGGAUCUGGG